rnacentral:rRNA from 1 species
GCCUCAGUAACGGCGAGUGAAGCGGCAUCAGCUCAAAUUUGAAAUCUGGCCUCACGGUCCGAGUUGUAAUUUGUAGAGAAUGCUUCGGGCGAGGUCCGGUCUAAGUUCCUUGGAACAGGACGUCAUAGAGGGUGAGAAUCCCGUAUGCGACCGGUCGCCUCCGCCCAUGUGAAGCUUCUUCGACGAGUCGAGUUGUUUGGGAAUGCAGCUCAAAAUGGGUGGUAUAUUUCAUCUAAAGCUAAAUACUGGCCAGAGACCGAUAGCGCACAAGUAGAGUGAUCGAAAGAUGAAAAGCACUUUGGAAAGAGAGUUAAACAGUACGUGAAAUUGUUGAAAGGGAAGCGCUUGCAACCAGACUUGCGCGCAGCUGAUCAUCCGGUGUUCUCACCGGUGCACUCGGUUGCGCUCAGGCCAGCAUCGGUUCUGGCGGCUGGAUAAAGGCCUUGGGAAUGUAGCUCCCCUCGGGGAGUGUUAUAGCCCUCGGUGCAAUGCAGCCUGUUGGGACCGAGGACCGCGCUUCGGCUAGGAUGCUGGCGUAAUGGUUGUAAGCGACCCGUCUUGAAACACGGACCAAGGAGUCUAACAUCUAUGCGAGUGUUUGGGCGUCAACSCRUAAUGAWARUGAASKGAAGGUGAGAACMCCCUWAGGGUGCAUCAUCGACCGAUCCUGAUGUCUUCGGAUGGAUUUGAGUAAGAGCAUAGCUGUUGGGACCCGAAAGAUGGUGAACUAUGCCUGAAUAGGGUGAAGCCAGAGGAAACUCUGGUGGAGGCUCGCAGCGGUUCUGACGUGCAAAUCGAUCGUCAAAUUUGGGUAUAGGGGCGAAAGACUAAUCGAACCAU